UACGAGGGGGGCAAAUGUUGUUCGGAAUCACUGGGCGUAAAGGGAGCGUAGGCGGGUUCUAAGUCAGGUGUUUAAUUCCCGGGGCCCAACCCCGGACAGGCACUUGAAACUGGGAAUCUUGAAUAGUGGAGAGGUCAGUGGAAUUGGGGUGUAGCGGUGGAAUGCGUAGAGAUCCCAAGAACACCAGUUGCGAAGGCGGCUGACUGGACACAUAUUGACGCUGAGGCUCGAAAGCAUGGGAGCAAACA
rnacentral:rRNA from 1 species